GACGUAGGGGGCGAGCGUUGUCCGGAUUUAUUGGGCGUAAAGAGCUCGUAGGCGGCUCGGUAAGUGAGGUGUGAAAACUCCAGGCUCAACCUGGAGACGCCACCUCAUACUGCUGUGGCUAGAGUCCGGUAGGGGAGCAUGGAAUUCCUGGUGUAGCGGUGAAAUGCGCAGAUAUCAGGAGGAACACCAGUGGCGAAGGCGGUGCUCUGGGCCGGAACUGACGCUGAGGAGCGAAAGCGUGGGGAGCAAACAGG
rnacentral:rRNA from 1 species